rnacentral:rRNA from 1 species
AACGCGAAGAACCUUACCAGGUCUUGACAUCCUCUGACACUCCUAGAGAUAGGACGUUCCCCUUCGGGGGACAGAGUGACAGGUGGUGCAUGGUUGUCGUCAGCUCGUGUCGUGAGAUGUUGGGUUAAGUCCCGCAACGAGCGCAACCCUUGAUCUUAGUUGCCAGCAUUCAGUUGGGCACUCUAAGGUGACUGCCGGUGACAAACCGGAGGAAGGUGGGGAUGACGUCAAAUCAUCAUGCCCCUUAUGACCUGGGCUACACACGUGCUACAAUGGAUGGUACAAAGGGCUGCAAAACCGCGAGGUCGAGCCAAUCCCAUAAAACCAUUCUCAGUUCGGAUUGUAGGCUGCAACUCGCCUACAUGAAGCUGGAAUCGCUAGUAAUCGUGGAUCAGCAUGCCACGGUGAAUACGUUCCCGGGCCUUGUA